UUAAAAAAUAAAUAAAUAAUGCAAUUCAUGGAAUGAUAUGACGUGAUAUGUAUGACGUCAUAUUGCAGAGUUCUCGCUGUGCGCUGGUCGGCCAUCUUGAAAAAUAAAUUGUGAAGGUCGUAUUUCCAGCUUUCCUGCGAGACGGCAGUUCAGAUGCAGUCGUCCUGUGUGUCAGAAAGCUGGUGAUCAAAAUGGUUGAAGGCAGUACCCAAGAUAGUACAUUUACAAAGUUGUGAGGAGUAACCUAGCCUAUAUAACCUGAAGCUCACCCAAUAUGCAGUGUGUUCUGCUCUGUCAAUAACAAAUGAGAUGCCAUACACAGGGGAUCCGACAGAAGACAGCAUACAAAAUUCGUCGAUGUAUUUGAAAUGUCAUUGUUUAUUUGAAAAAAG